rnacentral:sRNA from 1 species
UUCCGACGAAUCAUCGUCUUGAGGUGCAC